rnacentral:rRNA from 1 species
GUGGGGUAACGGCUCACCAAGGCCUCGAUACAUAGCCGACCUGAGAGGGUGAUCGGCCACACUGGGACUGAGACACGGCCCAGACUCCUACGGGAGGCAGCAGUAGGGAAUCUUCGGCAAUGGGGGGGACCCUGACCGAGCAACGCCGCGUGAGUGAAGAAGGUUUUCGGAUCGUAAAGCUCUGUUGUAAGAGAAGAACGUGUGUGAGAGUGGAAAGUUCACACAGUGACGGUAACUUACCAGAAAGGGACGGCU